rnacentral:rRNA from 1 species
AACCCUUAUCUUUAAUUGCCAGCAUUCAGUUGGGCACUUUAAAGAGACUGCCGGUGUUAAACCGGAGGAAGGUGGGGAUGACGUCAAGUCAUCAUGGCCCUUACGGCCUGGGCUACACACGUGCUACAAUGGUCGGUACAAAGGGUUGCCAAGCCGCGAGGUGGAGCUAAUCCCAUAAACCGAUCGUAGUCCGGAUCGCAGUCUGCAACUCGACUGCGUGAAGUCGGAAUCGCUAGUAAUCGUGAAUCAGAAUGUCACGGUGAAUACCGGUUCCCGGGCCUU